rnacentral:rRNA from 1 species
UACGGAGGGUGCGAGCGUUGUCCGGAAUCACUGGGCGUAAAGGGCGCGUAGGCGGCCCGUCAAGCGUGUGGUGAAAGCCCGGGGCUCAACCCCGGGUCGGCCGUGCGGACUGGCGGGCUCGAGCACUGUAGGGGCGGGUGGAAUUCCGGGUGUAGCGGUGGAAUGCGUAGAGAUCCGGAAGAACACCGGUGGCGAAGGCGGCCCGCUGGGCAGGAAGGCCCCCUCACGGGGGCCGGCUGACGCUGAGGCGCGACAGCGUGGGGAGCAAACAGG